AUGGGUAGCUCGCUAAGUUGAAAACCCGAAAGGGCAGCUUAGGCAAAAAUUAGAGCUUGAAAUAAAUAAAGUUGGAAAAUGUUUGGAAAGCUAAAUGAUAUUCUCAAUUUAAGCUAAAAAGUCAAAUCUCAUUCUAAUAGCAGCCCAAAGUCAGGCAGAAAGCAAUAAAUCCUAACAAAAUAAACAAAUGAUGAAAUCUAAGUCCAAGUCCAAAGAAAAGAAAAAA
rnacentral:lncRNA from 1 species